AAGUUGCGCCCGAAGCCAUUAGGCCGAGGGCACGUCUGCCUGGGCGUCUCACA
rnacentral:rRNA from 1 species